GAGAAAGUUAUAGAGGUUAUAGGGUUGGCUUGAAACCGAUCUUAGUGGGUUCGAUUCCCCCCUUUCUUA
rnacentral:tRNA from 2 species